GAUGAACGCUGGCGGUAUGCUUAACACAUGCAAGUCGAACGAAAGUCUUCGGAUUUUAGUGGCGGACGGGUGAGUAACGCGUGAGGAUCUGCCUAUAGGUUGGGGACAACAGAUGGAAACGUCUGCUAAUACCCAAUGUGCCGAGAGGUGAAAGCUUUAGUGCCUGUAGAUGAGCUCGCGUCCGAUUAGCUAGUUGGUAGGGUAAAGGCUUACCAAGGCGACGAUCGGUAGCUGGUCUGAGAGGAUGAUCAGCCACACUGGGACUGAGACACGGCCCAGACUCCUACGGGAGGCAGCAGUGGGGAAUUUUCCGCAAUGGGCGAAAGCCUGACGGAGCAAUACCGCGUGCGGGACGAAGGCUUUUGGGUCGUAAACCGCUUUUGUUAGGGAAGAACGCAAUGACGGUACCUAACGAAUCAGCAUCGGCUAACUCCGUGCCAGCAGCCGCGGUAAUACGGAGGAUGCAAGCGUUAUCCGGAAUUAUUGGGCGUAAAGCGUCCGCAGGUGGUUUAUCAAGUCUGCUGUUAAAUCGUAGGGCUUAACCCUAUAAAGGCAGUGGAAACUGAGAGACUAGAGUAUGGUAGGGGUAGCGGGAAUUCCCAGUGUAGCGGUGAAAUGCGUAGAUAUUGGGAGAACACCAGCGGCGAAGGCGCGCUACUGGGCAAAACUGACACUCAUGGACGAAAGCUAGGGGAGCGAAAGGGAUUAGAUACCCCUGUAGUCCUAGCUGUAAACGAUGACAACUAGGUGUUGCGCG
rnacentral:rRNA from 1 species